UAUUUAAAGUGAAGAACACUUUGCCUGAAUGUGAUCAGGGCAUAAGUCACUUAGCCAAGCUCUGCAUUUUGAGCCUGCUGACUUUCAUUUAAAGAAGAAUGAAAGGCUGAAAAUCCAGGCUGCUGUGUCUGUAGAUAAAGGUCAAACCAUGUUUGAGUUCUUCACUGUUGUGUCCACCUAAAUAAAACUGAGUAAGUAAUGAAAAAUGUCUUAAUAUUUCUUGCCUUCCCUUUCGAGAGAGUCAUUUCAUGGAAGAUGUAAUGGGAGAUGCAUUCCAAAAUGUCUUGAGGCUCAUUCCUCUCUGCUGGAAA
rnacentral:lncRNA from 1 species